UAACACGUGGACAACCUACCCUUAGGACGGGGAUAAACCCGGGAAACUGGGUAUAAUACCCGAUAGUCCUCGAAUGCUGGAAUGCAUCGAGUACUAAAGCUCCGGCGCCUAAGGAUGGGUCUGCGGCCUAUCAGGUAGUAGUGGGUGUAGCGUACCUACUAGCCUACGACGGGUACGGGUUGUGAGAGCAAGAGCCCGGAGAUGGAUUCUGAGACACGAAUCCAGGCCCUACGGGGUGCAGCAGGCGCGAAAACUUUACAAUGCUGGAAACAGCGAUAAGGGGACCUCGAGUGCCAGGUUACAAAUCUGGCUGUCGUGAUGCCUAAAAAGCAUUGCAUAGCAAGGGCCGGGCAAGACCGGUGCCAGCCGCCGCGGUAACACCGGCGGCUCGAGUGGUAACCGUUAUUAUUGGGUCUAAAGGGUCUGUAGCCGGCCGGAUAAGUCUCUUGGGAAAUCUGGCAGCUUAACUGUCAGGCUUUCAGGAGAUACUGUCUGGCUCGAGGCCGGGAGAGGUGAGAGGUACUUCAGGGGUAGGGGUGAAAUCUUGUAAUCCUUGAAGGACCACCAGUGGCGAAGGCGUCUCACCAGAACGGACCUGACGGCAAGGGACGAAAGCUAGGGGCACGAACCGGAUUAGAUACCCGGGUAGUCCUAGCCGUAAACGAUACUCGCUAGGUGUCGGCCACGGUGCGACCGUUAUCGGUGCCGUAGGGAAGCCGUGAAGCGAGCCACCUGGAAGUA
rnacentral:rRNA from 1 species